GAUGAACGCUGGCGGCGUGCCUAAUACAUGCAAGUCGAGCGAACGGACGAGAAGCUAGCUUCUCUGAUGUUAGCGGCGGACGGGUGAGUAACACGUGAAUAACCAACUUAUAAGACUGGGAUAACUUCGGGAAACCGGAGCAAAUACGGUAAAAUAUUUUGAACUGCAUGGUUCAAAGGUGAAAGACGGUCUGGCUGUCACUCAUAGAUGGAACCGGGCUGCAUUAGCUAGUUGGUAAGGUAACGGCUUACCAAGGAAACGAUCCAUAGCCGACCUGAGAGGGUGAUCGGCCACACUGGAACUGAGACACGGUCCGGACUCCUCCGGGAGGCAGCAGUAGGGAAUCUUCCGCAAUGGGCGAAAGCCUGACGGAGCAACGCCGCGUGAGUGAUGAAGGUCUUCGGAUCGUAAAACUCUGUUAUUAGGGAAGAACAUAUGUGUAAGUAACUGUGCACAUCUUGACGGUACCUUAUCAGAAAGCCACGGCUAACUACGUG
rnacentral:rRNA from 1 species